AACGAACGCUGGCGGCAGGCCUCAAACAUGCAAGUCUAGGGGACGUAGCAAUACGUCACCGGCGGACGGAUGCGUAACACGUGGGAACGUACCCUUUGGUUCGGAACAACGCAGGGAAACUUGCGCUAAUACCGGAUGUGCCCGAAAGGGGAAAGAUUUAUCGCCAAAGGAUCGGCCCGCGUUCGAUUAGCUUGUUGGUGAGGUAAAGGCUCACCAAGGCGACGAUCGAUAGCUGGUCUGAGAGGACGAUCAGCCACACUGGGACUGAGACACGGCCCAGACUCCUACGGGAGGCAGCAGUUGGGUAUCUUGGACAAUGGAGGAACCUCUGAUCCAGCCAUGCCGCGUGAGUGAUGAAGGCCUUCGGGUUGUAAAACUCUUUCGACGGGGACGAUAAUGACGGUACCCGUAGAAGAAGCUCCGGCUAACUUCGUGCCAGCCGCCGCCGUAAUAC
rnacentral:rRNA from 1 species